rnacentral:rRNA from 1 species
AGCGAACGCUGGCGGCAGGCUUAACACAUGCAAGUCGAGCGGGCGUAGCAAUACGUCAGCGGCAGACGGGUGAGUAACGCGUGGGAACGUACCUUUUGGUUCGGAACAACACAGGGAAACUUGUGCUAAAUACCGGAUAAGCCCUUACGGGGAAAGAUUUAUCGCCGAAAGAUCGGCCCGCGUCUGAUUAGCUUGUUGGUGAGGUAACGGCUCACCAAGGCGACGAUCAGUAGCUGGUCUGAGAGGAUGAUCAGCCACAUUGGGACUGAGACACGGCCCAAACUCCUACGGGAGGCAGCAGUGGGGAAUAUUGGACAAUGGGGGAAACCCUGAUCCAGCCAUGCCGCGUGAGUGAUGAAGGCCCUAGGGUUGUAAAGCUCUUUUGUGCGGGAAGAUAAUGACGGUACCGCAAGAAUAAGCCCCGGCUAACUUCGUGCCAGCAGCCGCGGUAAU